rnacentral:sRNA from 1 species
UCCAGCAGCCGCGGUAAUACGUAGGGGGCAAGCGUUGUCCGGAAUUAUUGGGCGUAAAGGGCGCGUAGGCGGUUUCUUAAGUCUGAUGUGAAAGCCCACAGCUUAACUGUGGAGGGUCAUUGGAAACUGGGGAACUUGAGUGCAGAAGAGGAGAGUGGAAUUCCACGUGUAGCGGUGAAAUGCGUAGAUAUGUGGAGGAACACCAGUGGCGAAGGCGACUCUCUGGUCUGUAACUGACGCUGAGGCGCGAAAGCGUGGGGAGCGAACAGGAUUAGAUACCCUGGUAGUCCACGCCGUAAACGAUGAGUGCUAGGUGUUAGGGGGUUUCCGCCCCUUAGUGCUGAAGUUAACGCAUUAAGCACUCCGCCUGGGGAGUACGGCCGCAAGGCUGAAACUCAAAAGAAUUGACGGGGGCCCGCACAAGCGGUGGAGCAUGUGGUUUAAUUCGAAGCAACGCGAAGAACCUUACCAGGUCUUGACAUCCGCUGACAACCUUGGAGACAAGGCAUUCCCUUCGGGGACAGCGUGACAGGUGGUGCAUG